UACGUAGGGGGCAAGCGUUGUCCGGAUUUAUUGGGCGUAAAGAGCGUGUAGGCGGCCAGGGAGGUCCGUUGUGAAAACUCGAGGCUCAACCUCGAGACGCCGAUGGAAACCCCCUGGCUAGAGUCCGGAAGAGGAGAAUGGAAUUCCUGGUGUAGCGGUGAAAUGCGCAGAUAUCAGGAAGAACACCCGUGGCUAAGGCGGUUCUCUAGUACGAUACUGACGCUGAGACGCGAAAGCGUGGGGAGCGAACAGG
rnacentral:rRNA from 1 species